AGAGUUUGAUCCUGGCUCAGAUUGAACGCUGGCGGCAAGCCUUACACAUGCAAGUCGAACGGCAGCACGGGGGCAACCCUGGUGGCGAGUGGCGAACGGGUGAGUAACAUAUCGGAACAUACCCUAGAGUGGGGGAUAACGUAGCGAAAGUUACGCUAAUACCGCAUACGAUCUAAGGAUGAAAGUGGGGGAUCGCAAGACCUCAUGCUCGUGGAGCGGCCGAUAUCUGAUUAGCUAGUUGGUGGGGUAAAGGCCUACCAAGGCAUCGAUCAGUAGCUGGUCUGAGAGGACGACCAGCCACACUGGAACUGAGACACGGUCCAGACUCCUACGGGAGGCAGCAGUGGGGAAUUUUGGACAAUGGGCGCAAGCCUGAUCCAGCAAUGCCGCGUGAGUGAAGAAGGCCUUCGGGUUGUAAAGCUCUUUUGUCAGGGAAGGAACGGUGAGAGCUAAUAUCUCUUGCUAAUGACGGUACCUGAAGAAUAAGCACCGGCUAACUCUGUGCCAGCAGCCGCGGUAAU
rnacentral:rRNA from 1 species